GACGAACGCUGGCGGCGUGCUUAACACAUGCAAGUCGAACGGAAAGGCCCUGCUUUUGUGGGGUACUCGAGUGGCGAACGGGUGAGUAACACGUGAGUAACCUGCCCUUCACUUUGGGAUAACUUCAGGAAACUGGGGCUAAUACCGGAUAGGAGCUCCUUCUGCAUGGUGUGGUUUGGAAAGUUUCGGCGGUUGGGGAUGGACUCGCGGUUUAUCAGCUUGGUGGUGGGGUUGUGGCUUACCAAGGUUUUGACGGGUAGCCGGCCUGAGAGGGUAACCGGACACAUUGGGACUGAGAUACGGCCCAGACUCCUACGGGAGGCAGCAGUGGGGAAUAGUGCAAAAUGGGCGGAAGCCUGAUGCAGCAACGCCGCGGGCGGGAUGACGGCCUUCGGGUUGUAAACCGCUUUCGCCUGUGACGAAGCGUGAGUGACGGUAAUGGGUAAAGAAGCACCGGCUAACUACGUG
rnacentral:rRNA from 1 species